GACGUAGGGCGCGAGCGUUGCCCGGAUUUAUUGGGCGUAAAGAGCUCGUAGGCGGCUUGUCGCGUCGGCUGUGAAAUCCCGUGGCUCAACUGCGGGUCUGCAGCCGAUACGGGCAGGCUAGAGUUCGGUAGGGGAGACUGGAAUUCCAGGUGUAGCGGUGAAAUGCGUAGAUAUCUGGAGGAACACCAAUAGCGAAGGCAGCUCGCUGGGACGCUACUGACACUGAGGCGCGAAAGCGUGGGGAGCGAACAGG
rnacentral:rRNA from 1 species